rnacentral:rRNA from 1 species
GCAGCAAUAGCAUCAAUUUGAAAUCUGGCGUCUUCGACGUCCGAGUUGUAAUUUGUAGAGGAUGCUUCUGAGUAACCACCGACCUAAGUUCCUUGGAACAGGACGUCAUAGAGGGUGAGAAUCCCGUAUGCGGUCGGAAAGGUGCUCUAUACGUAGCUCCUUCGACGAGUCGAGUUGUUUGGGAAUGCAGCUCUAAAUGGGAGGUAAAUUUCUUCUAAAGCUAAAUAUUGGCCAGAGACCGAUAGCGCACAAGUAGAGUGAUCGAAAGAUGAAAAGCACUUUGGAAAGAGAGUUAAAAAGCACGUGAAAUUGUUAAAAGGGAAGGGAUUGCAACCAGACUUGCUCGCGGUGUUCCGCCGGUCUUCUGACCGGUCUACUCGCCGCGUUGCAGGCCAGCAUCGUCUGGUGCCGCUGGAUAAGACUUGAGGAAUGUAGCUCCCUCGGGAGUGUUAUAGCCUCUUGUGAUGCAGCGAGCGCCGGGCGAGGUCCGCGCUUCGGCUAGGAUGCUGGCGUAAUGGUCGUAAUCC